GAUACGUAAAUUACACUUAAAUGUAUAUGAAAUUAAUCAUGAAUGUGUUUGUUAGAGACAUCUAAUUGGUUUACAAAGUUAAAAUGCUAACUGUUAAAUGUAAUAUCAAGAACUCUUAACUCCUUAAGUUCCAUAAGGUACACACACACACACACACACAAACUUGGUGUUUUCAUAAAUUGUGUAACUAAAAAAAAAUAAAAUUAUUUUGUAUUAUCAUAAAAACAAGGUUACUAUAAAAGUCCCAACAGGUAUAAUUCUACAUACAAGGAGUCAAGAGGUUUCAACUGCAGUUCAAUUAAAGUACUGUAAAUAACAAAAAUUAAUCCAUUUUAAUAAGGUAAAAUAUUUAUCUAAAUUUAGAAAUUUAUAAGGGUUAUUUUAAGGUACAAACAAAAAGAAGGAUCAGUGGAUUUAAAAUGAUCAAAAAGUCCUAAAUAUAAGAAUAUAUUUAGUAAAAAAACAUUUCCAGGUUAAAAAAAAAAUCUAUGUGGUAAAGUAUAAUUAGAAUACGUCCAAGUAAACCACAAGGGUCUAAUAAUAUAAAGAUCUACGAAUAAGAGAUAAAUAUUAAAAGGUUUAUAUGUAACUAAGCUGGUUAUAUAUGUAACACAAAUAGGGAACAACCUUGAAUAAUUUUAACUAAGGACAAAUAUUAAUGUUCUGAUAUAUUUAUAUCUUCAAAUGACAAAAACUCCUAAAAAUAUAAGUUACAUUGUGUGUUAAGUUUUAUCCCCUAGAGCAAGUAAUCUUGGAAAAAUUAAGGUUUGUACAUCUGUGGUUAGACAGCAACUGUUACUUUAAAGUAUUGUCCUACGUUACAGAGUCUAGAUUUGUUUAAAAGCUAACCUUGGUCAAUAUAAAAACAUCAAUAAAAGUGUGGCACGUUACUCUUCUCUACAGAUUAAAUGUGCUCAUAUCUUUCAGGUAUAAAAGUCUUUAAGGUAAAAGGCUUUGAUAGGCCUUGCUAUGAGGACAAUUUCCCUCCACCUCCUGAGAUGCCCACCCCACGUGAAUUUACAUCCUGGUCUUCCUGAAUUAGAUUUUUACCAUGGACUCCUUGACCCACUCAGUUUCUAAAAAAGGACUCCAAACUGCUUGCCCACUGCACAUUGCUCCCCUCUCAGAUCAAAGCAAGAACAGUCAUCGCCCUUUUCCUAACCAGUAGGAGGUCCCUAAAAUUAGGGGGAAAAUCACGAUCAGUAUAGGUGUUCACCACUAUGUCUGGUUCAGGAAGAUGGACCUGGAAAACUACUCCCAAGACCACCCUGGGUGACCUCCCAGAAAGAGACACUUGCUCCCACAACCCAACUUGUAAGUGGGACAACUCCCCAUUCACCAAAAAUUGUACUUCCCGGGUCCCACUUCGAACUCCUUGCCCAAGUCUCCAAACUGUCAAUAACUCUGAACUAUGGAACCUACUAUUUUGAUGGAGUUUAAAAAGGAAAGGAACACCUGGACUUAUUACAAGGCCAGGGCCCACUGAUUUAUCAACCCAGAUGGGUUGCCCCCAUUGGAGUUCCCCUCCUGGCUGGUUUGGGAAUAGCUGGAUCUGCUGCUUUAGGAAGGCAGCUCUGACCACAGGCUCUAAAAAUGUUAAGUCCCUCAGCCUCAGAUAGAUAGAGAUUUAGGAGAACUAGAAAGGUCAGUCUCCAAACUAGAGGUGUCCCUAGACGCUCUGACAGAAAUAGUCUUACAAAACAGAUGAGGUCUAGAGCGUCCCUUUCUAAAACAAGGAGGACCUAAAACAAUUACCAUUUCUAAAACAAUGUAUGGCCCUAGGAGAAACUUGUUGUUUCUAUGCAAACCAUUCUGGGAUAAUCAAGGACAGUUUGGUGCUAAUGAGAAACAGGUUAAAGGAAAGAAAGGAAGCACAAGACACUUCAGGCAAUUGGUUCCAAAACCUAUUCUCAUGGUCCCCUUGGUUGAGUAUCAUCAUUUCAGCCAUAGUUGGGCCCCUUCUCCUGAUUGGGAUUCCUGUAGGACGCUGCCUCUUAAAAACCCUCCUAAACCAUAUACACAAGAAUGUAGGUGAGGUCCGACUUAUGGGCUUGUGAGCCCAGUAUGGUCCCUUAGUCACAGAAGGAUGGGAAAGAAACUGAGGCCUAAUGAUGUGCAAGAUUGACAUCAAACCUACUAAAACCAUGUGCUAGUAAAAGCAAAUGUGACUCCAUUUUGUUUUGUGACUCCAUUCUGUAGAACAACCAGGUCAAGUACAAGGGUCAUGACUGGGGCAAGAUGUUCUUUUCCUUUUGCUAUGGAAACCUUUAAGAACAUGGAACUACCUAAUGGGGCAUUGUUUCUGUAACUGGGGUGACUGGGCUGUGAUUGGUUAGGCUUCCGCCACCUGACUGCACUCUCCUGCUUCUGUGACCUGGCUUGCUUGCAUUGGCUAGACCCCCCUGAACAUCCCUUUUGUGGUUUUAGACUUAUAAGAAGCGCCCUUGAAAUUGUCCGGGGCUGAUCAGGGACGCAGCUUUAUAUUCUGGCCAGCUGCCGCCGGUGUGCUUCAAUAAAGGCUUGACUCAAUUAUA